GCUGGCGGCGCGUCCUACACAUGGGAGAAAACACGAGAAAGUGGAGCAAUCCAUGAGUAAAGUGGCGUACUUUUCCGUAACACGUGGAUCAUCUACCUUCUAGUGGGGAAUACCUCCGGGAAACUGGAGACAAUACCGCAUAAGCUCGUAAGAGGAAAGCAGCAAUGCGCUGGAAGAGGAGUCCGCGGCUGAUUAGCUAGUUGGCGGGGUAACGGCCCACCAAGGCGAAGAUCGGUAGCCGGCCUGAGAGGGCACACGGCCACACUGGCACUGAAACACGGGCCAGACUCCUACGGGAGGCAGCAGUGGG
rnacentral:rRNA from 1 species